ensembl:lncRNA
CUGUGUGUGUUGGUGUAUCUGUGUAAGUGUGUGUCUAUGUCACUGUCUGUGUCUGUUUGUCUGUCUCUCUGUUGAUGUCUGUGUGUGUGUGUGUGUGUGUGUGUGUGUGUGUGUGUGUGUGUGUGUGUGUGUGUGUGUGUGUGUGUGUGUGUGUGUGUGUGUGUUUGUAUGCAUGUCUGCGUGUGUAUGCAUGUCUGUGUGUGUGUGUGUGUGUGUGUGUGUGCUUGGGUUUGGGUUUGUGGACAUGCUUAACUAUACUUGUGGGGACCAAAAGAAUACAGAAUAGUAAACACACAUUUGGGGAUAUUUUGUUAGUCCCCACAAGGUCAAAUGCCAUUUCCAGGGUGUUUAGGGUUAGGGUUAGAAUUCGUUUUAGGGUUAGAAUUGGUUUUAGGGUUUGAUUUUUUUAUUUUUUGUGAAAUGUGUUGUUUUACAGGGUCAGCAAAAGAGUCACAACAGUCUGUGACUCAGGACAGACAGUUAGGCCCUACAGCAGUUUGUGACUCAGGACAGACAGUUAGGCCCUACAACAGUCUGUGACUCAGGACAGACAGUUAGGCCCUACAACAGUAAGUGACUCAGGACAGACAGGCCCUACAACAGUAAGUGACUCAGGACAGACAGGCCCUACAACAGUAAGUGACUCAGGACAGACAGGCCCUACAACAGUAAGUGACUCAGG